AGCAGACGAAAGCAUUUAACAGGUCCCUCUAUUUCAUUUGACAUUUACAUAUUAUGGAAUAUAAAAUUAGCCAUAGGAAUUAAUAAAGUUUGCAGCCUAGAAAUGUCCUCCAAAUGGCAGCAAUUUAAGACUUUUGCUUUCCCCUUCAACUAGCCAUCUAACUAUUUAUUACCUACAGAAGAUUACAAGUAGAAAAAGUCAUGAAGAGUUCAUGACUUUUUUCCCCUUGGCAGAAUAUAGAAAGUUUCUUUAACUAACAACUUAAAUAUUACCUAGUCAUGAAAUAGCAACGCGUACAAGCAUGAAUGAACUCAUAGUCUCCUCAGUAUAUCCCCCAACUGGGAAUUUGCUGGAAGCACUUAUUCACAUCUCUAACGAAGUAUUUUCAAUGGAAAAGCUUCCAUUUGUACAGAUGAAAAACAUUUCAAGUAUGGUAAGAAGGAUCAAGAUUCUUACUUCAUUGUUUGAAGAAAUUCAAGAAACAUCAUCCGCUGCACGACUUCCACCAUCUUCC
rnacentral:lncRNA from 1 species